GCCACAUCAUGUUGAAACCCUAGUUUCCAUACAAUCACUGAAGUCAAGCCAUGUUGAGCUAGGUCAGUACCUAGAUGGGUGACCACUUAAGAAUACCAGGUGCUGUAAG